CUUUACACAUGCAGUCGUACGGGAAAUAUCCUAGAUGGUUAUUUCCAGUGGCGGACGGGUGAGCUAACGCGCUAAGAACCUAUCCUUAGGAGGGGGACAACAGCUGGAAACGGUUGCUAAUACCCCAUAUGCUGAGGAGCAAAAGGAGGAAUCCGCCCAAGGAGGGUCUUGCGUCUGAUUAGCUAGUUGGUGAGGUAAUGGCUCACCAAGGCAACGAUCAGUAGCUGGUCUGAGAGGAUGAUCAGCCACACUGGGACUGAGACACGGCCCAGACUCUUACGGGAGGCAGCAGUGGGGAAUUUUCCGCAAUGGGCGAAAGCCUGACGGAGCAAUGCCGCGUGGAGGUAGAAGGCUCACGGGUCGUAAACUCCUUUUCUCAGAGAAGAUGCAAUGACGGUAUCUGAGGAAUAAGCAUCGGCUAACUCUGUGCCAGCAGCCGCGGUAAGACAGAGGAUGCAAGCGUUAUCCGGAAUGAUUGGGCGUAAAGCGUCUGUAGGUGGCUUUUUAAGUCCGCCGUCAAAUCCCAGGGCUCAACCCUGGACAGGCGGUGGAAACUACUAAGCUGGAGUACGGUAGGGGCAAAGGGAAUUUCCGGUGGAGCGGUGAAAUGCGUAGAGAUCGGAAAGAACACCAAUGGCGAAAGCACUUUGCUGGGCCGACACUGACACUGAGAGACGAAAGCUAGGGGAGCAAAUGGGAUUAGAUACCCCAGUAGUCCUAGCUGUNAAACGAUGGAUACUAAGCGCUGUGCGUAUCGACCCGUGCAGUGCUGUAGCUAACGCAUUAAGUAUCCCGCCUGGGGAGUACGUNCCNAGAAUGAAACUCAAAGGAAUUGACGGGGGCCCCCCAA
rnacentral:rRNA from 1 species